rnacentral:rRNA from 1 species
GGUUCAGGAUGAACGCUAGCUACAGGCUUAACACAUGCAAGCGAGGGGCAGCGAGAGGAAAGCUUGCUUUCCUGUCGGCGACCGGCGCACGGGUGAGUAACGCGUAUCCAACCUUCCCCAUAGUAGAGGAUGGCCCGGCGAAAGUCGGAUUAAUACUCUAUGUUGUGUCAUGAGGACAUCUGAAUAACACUAAAGACUUGUCGCUAUGGGAUGGGGAUGCGUCUGAUUAGGUAGUCGGCGGGGUAACGGCCCACCGAGCCGACGAUCAGUAGGGGUUCUGAGAGGAAGGUCCCCCACAUUGGUACUGAGACACGGACCAAACUCCUACGGGAGGCAGCAGUGAGGAAUAUUGGUCAAUGGGCGCGAGCCUGAACCAGCCAAGUAGCGUGCAAGGAUGACUGCCCUAUGGGUUGUAAACUGCUUUUAUGCGGGAAUAAAGUCAGGUACGUGUACCUGUUUGUAUGUACCGCAUGAAUAAGGACCGGCUAAUUCCGUGCCAGCCGCUGC